AUUGAACGCUGGCGGCAGGCCUAACACAUGCAAGUCGAGCGAGCGGCGGACGGGUGAGUAAUGUAUGGGGACUGCCCGAUAGCGGGGGAUAACUACUGGAAACGGUGGCUAAUACCGCAUACUAUCGGAUAACCCAUAUGGGAUUAUCUAGUAGGUGGGGUAAAGGCUCACCUAGGCGACGAUCUCUAGCUGGUCUGAGAGGAUGAUCAGCCACACUGCGACUGAGACACGGCCCAGACACCUACGGAGGCAGCAGUGGGGAAUAUUGCACAAUGGGCGCGAUCCUGAUGCAGACAAGCCGCGUGUAUGAAGAAGGCCUUAGGGUUGUAAGGUACUUUCAGCGGGGAGGCGUUACCCGAAGAAGAAACACGGGGUAACGCCGUGCCAGCAGCCGCGGUAAUAC
rnacentral:rRNA from 1 species